AGCCUAGAGAGAACUGUUUUAGGUAAGGCCUGCCCAAUGCCGAAACUGGUAAAUGGCCGCAGUACCCUGACUGUGCUAAGGUAGCGUAAUCAGUUGGCUUUUAAAUGGAGUCGUGUAUGAAGGGACUGAUGGGGUUAAGCUGUCUCUACUAAAUUUAUUCGAAAUUAAUAAGGAGGUGAAAAUACCUCCGUGAAGAUAAAGGACGAUAAGACCCUUGGAGUUUUCACUAAAAUAGCCUUAUUGGCUUGUUGUUUUUGCUGGGGCGGCAUAGGGGGAUUUUAAACCCCCUUUAGUUUGAUAAGCCGAAAGUUUUAAGCGUAACUAAACUACCCGAGGGAUAACAGCAUUAUUCUUUAUAGAGUUUGUGACCUCGAUGUUGGACUAGGAAUUAAUUAGGCUAGCCGCUUAAAUCUAUUGUUCUGUUCGAACUAGUUUUCCU
rnacentral:rRNA from 1 species